UGUACACGUUUCAGUGAGUUGAAUAAUCAAUGUUAGAAGUCAGUGCAACACAAAAAUUAAAAAACAGCUCCUUAACUUAAAUGUUUGAGUAUAUUGAAUAAAAUACUUUUGUCAUCAAUCAACAACAGAAAAUAUUAAGUUUGUGUAACAUGUAAAAAUGAGUUUCAACAUCCUUCCUGUUUGAAUUGAGACCAUUCAGACAGACGAGGGCAACCCCGUAGCAUAUGUUCGUAUCGUGCGCAACAGUUUCUGGAUUCUUGUGGCUUCGUGGGAGAAGAGGUGUGUUUGCCCUCGACUGUGUUCGGAACCGAAAACACACUCCUCACUCAUUGGAUGACUUCAAGCCUGAGCUGAUACAGAGAGUUCGGUGGAAAUGAAGAGAGAGGUCGCAAUCCGUUGCCUGAAGGUGUAUCUGAAAGAGAAGGAAGAGGAUCUCUUCAGAGAACAGCUGGAUGGUGAACAACAGUUCCCAGAAGAAGUGGUAAAGAUUGUAGACACCAGACGAGCAGCAGUGUCUCUCCCAGCUGUCGCUAAAAUUGUGAUUGAAGGAACAGCAGUCCUGGAAGACCUUGAUGUGCCCAGAGUGUGUGCCUUAAUGAUGGGGCUUAUAUACACUCUCAAUCUGAGCUACCCAAAACAAGUAAAGAACACUCUAGAGGUAUUUCUGGAACUUGAUGGGCUUAAACCAGUCCACGGGUAAUGUCUGUUAAGUGCAAACUUCUGUCAUGAAACGAAUGUGAAUUGGACUGUAGUAUUCCGA